UGAGUAACCUGCCCUUAACUCUGGGAUAAGCCUGGGAAACUGGGUCUAAUACCGGAUAUGACUCCUCAUCGCAUGGGUGGGGGGUGAAAGCUUUUUGUGGUUUUGGAUGGACUCGCGGCCUAUCAGCUUGUUGGUGAGGUAAUGGCUCACCAAGGCGACGACGGGUANCUGGUCUGAGAGGAUGGCCAGCCCACAGUUGGGACUGAGGCACGGCCCAGACCUCCGUACGGGGAGGNAG
rnacentral:rRNA from 1 species